GAUGAACGCUAGCUACAGGCUUAACACAUGCAAGUCGAGGGGAAACGACAUCGAAAGCUUGCUUUUGGUGGGUGUCGACCGGCGCACGGGUGAGUAACGCGUAUCCAACCUGCCCACCACUUGGGGAUAACCUUGCGAAAGUAAGACUAAUACCCAAUGAUAUCCCACGAAGGCAUCCGAAUGGGAUUAAAGAUUUAUCGGUGAUGGAUGGGGAUGCGUCUGAUUAGCUUGUUGGCGGGGUAACGGCCCACCAAGGCAACGAUCAGUAGGGGUUCUGAGAGGAAGGUCCCCCACAUUGGAACUGAGACACGGUCCAAACUCCUACGGGAGGCAGCAGUGAGGAAUAUUGGUCAAUGGGCGAGAGCCUGAACCAGCCAAGUAGCGUGCAGGACGACGGCCCUAUGGGUUGUAAACUGCUUUUAUAAGGGAAUAAAGUGGGUCACGUGUGACUUUUUGCAUGUACCUUAUGAAUAAGGACCGGCUAAUUCCGUG
rnacentral:rRNA from 1 species